CUCCGAUCCUAUAUUUCAGCGUGCCUGUAAACCUCUCUUUUUCAGCCCUGUUCAGAACAGACUGUUUCUGUGUCUGUAGCUUUAAAUGUAAAUGAUCUGUGCCUGACCACGCCCCUCUCCGGAAGGGGAUGCAGCUUGGGCUUCUGGUACCAUGCUGUAAUGUUUACGGUGACCGUGACCUGGCAUCAGAAGCGCUUUGGUUCAACCAUACGACUUUUAUUCAGAAUCUGACCCAGAAGGAGAGGCUCCUGAAGAAGUUCCAACUCUACAACUGCAGCAGGACGUUUCUGAUUGGUGCUCCUGUGGAAACUGUACAACCAUGCCCACAGAAGCUGAGAAUAUCUGCUGCUAGGAGAUACCACAGGUUACCAGACGGCUAUGGGAUAUCGAAGAAGAAUUACCAUGUAUGGUAGACCGUCCUGGGUUGGAGCCGGGUUGCCUCAAUGUGUACUCCCUCCAGAAUGCCUGCAACAUAUACCGCGCUGACUGCGGUACUUUACGGUUGAGAGGAAUACACCAGUUGCUAAUUGCUGAUGCUGGUCGGCUGUGCGGGAGUGCCCUGGUGUCGCUGAUUGCUGUCUGCUGCCUCAGCCUACUUAAGCUCCCUGCGUCAGUCAGUCAGCGCUGGAUUGUAGACUCAGCUACCGAGAUCACCUGCACUCCCACCCGGCCUCCAGCUUCCAGAUCUCCUGCCCGGCUCAGCUCUCCUGCCUGCCACGCUCCUCCAGCCAUCAUCCGCCUCAUCAUCUGUCCCUUUCAUCUGCCCCGCACCUUCUCUUGCAAUAAAACUCUUUGUAACCGCCA